AGUCGACGAACUUCUUUAUCACCGAGUGCUUGCACUCACCGAUAAAGAGUUGAGUGGCGAACGGGUGAGUAACACGUGGGCAACCUGCCCAAAAGAGGGGGAUAACACUUGGAAACAGGUGCUAAUACCGCAUAACCAUAGUUACCGCAUGGUAACUAUGUAAAAGGUGGCUAUGCUACCGCUUUUGGAUGGGCCCGCGGCGCAUUAGCUAGUUGGUGGGGUAAAGGCUUACCAAGGCAAUGAUGCGUAGCCGAACUGAGAGGUUGAUCGGCCACAUUGGGACUGAGACACGGCCCAACUCCUACGGGAGGCAGCAGUAGGGAAUCUUCCACAAUGGGCGAAAGCCUGAUGGAGCAACGCCGCGUGGGUGAAGAAGGUCUUCGGAUCGUAAAACCCUGUUGUUAGAGAAGAAAGUGCGUGAGAGUAACUGUUCACGUUUCGACGGUAUCUAACCAGAAAGCCACGGCUAACUACGUGCCAGCAGCCGCGAUAAUACGUAGGUGGCAAGCGUUAUCCGGAUUUAUUGGGCGUAAAGGGAACGCAGGCGGUCUUUUAAGUCUGAUGUGAAAGCCUUCGGCUUAACCGGAGUAGUGCAUUGGAAACUGGGAGACUUGAGUGCAGAAGAGGAGAGUGGAACUCCAUGUGUAGCGGUGAAAUGCGUAGAUAUAUGGAAGAACACCAGUGGCGAAAGCGGCUCUCUGGUCUGUAACUGACGCUGAGGUUCGAAAGCGUGGGUAGCAAACAGGGUUAGAUACCCUGGUAGUCCACGCCGUAAACG
rnacentral:rRNA from 1 species